rnacentral:rRNA from 1 species
GAUGAACGCUGGCGGCGUGCCUAAUACAUGCAAGUCGAGCGAACAGAUAAGGAGCUUGCUCCUUUGACGUUAGCGGCGGACGGGUGAGUAACACGUGGAUAACCUACCUAUAAGACUGGGAUAACUUCGGGAAACCGGAGCUAAUACCGGAUAACAUAUUGAACCGCAUGGUUCAAUAGUGAAAGGCGGCUUUGCUGUCCCUUAUAGAUGGAUCCGCGCCGUAUUAGCUAGUUGGUAAGGUAACGGCUUACCAAGGCAACGAUACGUAGCCGACCUGAGAGGGUGAUCGGCCACACUGGAACUGAGACACGGUCCAGACUCCUACGGGAGGCAGCAGUAGGGAAUCUUCCGCAAUGGGCGAAAGCCUGACGGAGCAACGCCGCGUGAGUGAUGAAGGUCUUCGGAUCGUAAAACUCUGUUAUCAGGGAAGAACAAAUGUGUAAGUAACUGUGCACAUCUUGACGGUACCUGAUCAGAAAGCCACGGCUAACUACGUG